UACGUAGGGGGCGAGCGUUAUCCGGAUUCACUGGGUGUAAAGGGAGCGUAGACGGCCAUGCAAGCCAGGGGUGAAAGCCCGGGGCCCAACCCCGGGACUGCCCUUGGAACUGCAUGGCUGGAGUGCGGGAGGGGCAGGCGGAAUUCCUGGUGUAGCGGUGAAAUGCGUAGAUAUUAGGAGGAACACCAGUGGCGAAGGCGGCUUACUGGACUGUAACUGACGUUGAGGCUCGAAAGCGUGGGGAGCAAACAGG
rnacentral:rRNA from 1 species